AGAGUUUGAUCAUGGCUCAGAGUGAACGCUGGCGGCGUGCCUAACACAUGCAAGUCGAGCGAGGUACUAACGGUAGCAAUACUGGAUAGGCCUAGCGGCAGACGGGUGAGUAACACGUAGGGAACCUUCCUCUUAGCGGGGGAUAGCCAGUCGAAAGAUUGGGUAAUACCGCGUACGAUUCGUUGAUGGCAUCAUUGACGAAUGAAACAUCCGCAAGGAUGACUGAGAGAGGGCCCUGCGGCCUAUCAGCUAGUUGGUGAGGUAACGGCUCACCAAGGCUACGACGGGUAUCCGGCCUGAAAGGGCGAACGGACACACUGACACUGAGACACGGGUCAGACACCUACGGGUGGCAGCAGUGAGGAAUCUUGGACAAUGGGGGCAACCCUGAUCCAGCGACGCCGCGUGGAGGACGAAGGUCUUCGGAUUGUAAACUCCUUUUGUUCGGGAAUAAGAAAUCUGUGGAAACACGGAGAGUGAAUGUACCGGAUGAAUAAGCCACGGCUAACUUCGUGCCAGCAGCCGCGGUAAUACGAAGGUGGCAAGCGUUACUCGGAAUUACUAGGCGUAAAGGGCAGGUAGGUGGUUUGGUAAGUCUGUUGUGCAAGCUCCCGGCUUAACUGGGAGAGGUCAACAGAAACUACCAGGCUUGAGUAUAGGAGAGGGUACUGGAAUUCCCGGUGUAGCGGUGAAAAUGCGCAGAGAUCGGGAGGAACACCAAUGGCGAAAGCAGGUACCUGGACUAUUACUGACACUAAGCUGCGAAAGCUAGGGGAGCAAACAGGAUUAGAUACCCCCGUAGUCC
rnacentral:rRNA from 1 species